UCACCCCUCAAGCCCCGUGCUUGGUGUUGGACGGCUUGGUCGCGUCACCGCGACUCCUCCUAAAGACAAUGACGGCGGCCUGUGGUUCCCCCGGUACACUGAGCUUUUAAUUGAGCACGUAUUGGAUAAGGGCGCCCGGGACCCGGUCUUCUCCUCUCACGAGGAAAUUUUUUCAA
rnacentral:misc_RNA from 1 species